rnacentral:rRNA from 1 species
UUCGGGGACAUUGGUGACAGGUGGUGCAUGGUUGUCGUCAGCUCGUGUCGUGAGAUGUUGGGUUAAGUCCCGCAACGAGCGCAACCCUUGUCUUUAGUUGCCCUCAUUAAGUUGGGCACUCUAGAGAGACUGCCAGGGAUAACCUGGAGGAAGGUGGGGAUGACGUCAAAUCAUCAUGCCCCUUAUGCUUAGGGCUACACACGUGCUACAAUGGGUAGUACAGAGGGUUGCCAAGCCGUAAGGUGGAGCUAAUCCCUUAAAGCUACUCUCAGUUCGGAUUGUAGGCUGAAACUCGCCUACAUGAAGCUGGAGUUACUAGUAAUCGCAGAUCAGAAUGCUGCGGUGAAUGCGUUCCCGGGUCUUGUACACACCGCCCGUCACACCACGGGAGUUGGAGACGCCCGAAGCCGAUUAUCUAACCUUUUGGAAGAAGUCGUCGAAGGGGGAAUCAAUAACUGGGGUGAAGUCGUAACAAGGUAGCCGUAUCGGAAGGUGCGGCUGGAUCACCUCCUUUCUAAGGA